rnacentral:lncRNA from 1 species
AGUUUUGGUGUUUUUCUUAAUUAUAGUAUAAUAUGGUUUGCAAAAAGAAAGUAUGGGUGUUAUUUUAUUAUAUAUAUUUAUGUUAUAUGGAAAAGAUUUGUUUUGGAAAUUGAAUUUUGAGAUUAUUAUCUUUAUUAUAUAUUAGUUUAUGAAAGGGGAUUUUGGAUCUUGGCGAUGACACGCCAUCUCAUGUAACCACCCACUACUACAUUUUACACUUUGCG